CAUGUGACCCCAAGCUGUUUGAAGAGGCUGAAUAGCAGCACACAGGGGCACUCACUCUCUGGCCAGCCUAAGAGGCCUCUCUGGGGCAAGAUUCAAUUUGCUAUAGAGCUUUCCAGCACAAAAUCUGAACGACCCGUGCUCCUUCCUUACCAUGAAUGGCCUGCACCUCUUGAAGCCCCCAGUGGUGGCAAGGAAAAUAGUUCCCUGCAUUUUCAAGAUCAGAAAAGAAAAUAAAGAGCAUAAAUAUGGAGCAGGCAUUGCCAGAGUCAGACAGACACUGGCAUCAGAUACCCAAACGGAGAGAUUAGCUACACAAAGCUGGUCACUAGCCCAGUGCAUCUCCUCUUGUGAGUUUUUGGUUGUUGCUUUUUUCUCUAAGGAGUUCUCUGGAGCUGGCUGGCAUCCUCAUACUUCUUGGGUGGGGCCAGAAGCAAGACAUGAUUUCCUGAGGACUUUGUUUCUGUUAGAUGUUAUCCAGCCUCUGAACAAAAUCUCAGGGAAGGCCACUUGUUCUCCCCAAGCUGAGGGUCAAGCAGACCCCUCCCCACAAGGGACGGCGUGGCCUCCCUCCACGGGUCACCUUCCCUUGCAAAGGCUGCUCCUCCCCUCCGCUCAUCCCUGGUUCCUCUGGAACCAGCAGUAAAGGAUUCACUCCUGGGGCUUCAGACCCACCUGCGUGUGAAGUCACUGCCUUAGACGAGUGAGGUUUGGGGAGCCUGGGAUAGGACGCUUUUCAUUCUGUUUUAAUGAGAUUAUUGUCCAGCUCACUGGGUUAGGAGGUGGGAGUUGGCUUGUGUGGAUGAAAGAGCUGGGUGGGGUACCGGGCAGGCCAGCCAGCCGGGUCCUGGACACGACACCUCUGUGACUCUGAACAAGUUGCUCGUCUUCUCAGAGGCUUGGUCUCCCAUCUAUAAAUGGAGAAUGAAAUUGUUCCUUACUCAUUACUGCGAGGCUGUGGCACCCCUGCUGUUCAUUCUACAGCUUGAGCGCUUCUGAUGGAGCGCUUCUGAUGACAGUGCCAUGUGACAGGAAGGAUGGUGAUAGGAAGGGAGCGCUGCCAGGCACUGGGGCCUCCUGCCAGGUCAGUGCGAUGCUGCCCAUGCCCGCGCUCCCCAGGGAAACGGGACAUCACACGCAGCAGCCGUCACAGUCAGUUCCUCAGCAGAGCCACCACCCAGGGCUCAUCUGCAGGCAGUUCUUCACACAAAACACCCCAGUGCCAACGGUUCUGUUGAGAAGAGGCAAAAUAAAAACAGAUGUCCUGGGACACCCGGUGCCCAGUGUUCCCUCAGUGGAUCACUCCCCUCUCAGAGCUCCCUGCCCAGAGCGUGGAUGCUGCCGUGACCCUGGGGACACCCCCUUGAGACCCAGCAGUUCCCGACCUGCGCUCCUGCUGCCCCUGGGAUGUCUGUCCAUUUUUCAGGGCACGUGCACAUGUCUAUUCGCUUUAGGAAGCCCAAGGGAGGCAGCUUGCACCUAGUUUUCCAAGGGAACAUGAUCCCAACAAGACGGAGAGGUGUUUUUGCUCCCUCUACUCUGCUUUCCAAGGGAGAGCGUGAGAAACCCUCUUUAGGUUGGAGGUGCUGGAAUCCCCUCUGCCAAGGUUGAGGGGUCCUCCUGUGAAAGCUGCUCCCCGUCGUUAAAGAGGAUGUGGUCCCGCCGAGGAAGGUAUGUCACCGAGAGGGGCCCUCCACGGUGUCGAGGAGGACUGUCCGUCUGUGGGGCCCUCCACGGCGUCGAGGAGGACUGUCCAUCUGUGACAGUGCCUCACAGGGAGGGACACGUGGGUCUCAGAGAAGGUUCGGGUGGCUUCUGGAUAGCUACUUGUCUGGAAUGGUUUUUUCUACAAGAAAUUCCUGCCUCGAGGGGUACCCUCGGUGGUCCCACCUGCUCGAGUGUUUUAAGACUUGGAAAUUGACAGACAAAAAAAAAUAUUUUUUGAAAAUGCGUCUCAGUUACAACUGGCGUAUCCAGCAUUCAUCAGUAGAAAGCAAAAAUAGGUACAGUCUUCCUUCAGAAUACAGAUGACUAGUUUUUUUUUAACGUUCUUUCUCUGCAAUUUAAUUUUCCAAAGAUUCCCUUCACCUCUGAUAAAUAUUCCUCUACACAUUCACAAAUGCAUGUGGAAAUAAAAAACGUCAUUUCCCUAAAUAUGACUAACUUAUGGACCCUGUAUAUUCUCAUGGCCUUUUAUUUUAGGGUUUGGAAACCACACUCAAAUACAGGAGUGCCCAGAGUAUAAAAGAACUUGAGGUCGCAUUAUCUCCUUGAUGGUGAUGGGUGCCGUUUUUACCUGCCAGUUAGUCUCAUCCAGCCCAUUGAUAACCGUGUGAAAUCUGACUUCAUGAAUAAUUUCCGAAGAAAAGAACCAUACAUUUUUUUUCCCGAAGAACCAUAAAUUGAAGUGAUGUGGUAUUAUGUAUAAUCAUUUUCCUAGAAGGUGAGCUUUAAAAAUUUAUGCAGCACAUUUCAUAUAUGUUAUCACAAAAUGCUUAAAUGUUUGGAAGGCAGGCAUCACACAGACUAAUGGGAAAAUUAUUCCAAGCCCGAAUUUUCAGCUCCGACCCCUGAUUUGUAUUCAUAUCGAAUAGUAAAAGGUGAAAUUCCACACUGUCAAGAUAAAGCACAGUUCACUCCUAAACUGAAAACAUGCCUAAAUCAACCUUCUCCCCAAGUUUCUCGGCCUAACCCAUCCAAGAGAGUAGGGCUGUAGAUGGUAUUGAUUUCUGGGGUUUUCUCUUUGCACAGCUAAAUAACGCUGCUUCUUUGUUUUUUCACUUUGGCGGAAAUUCUUUGGGCAGCGUAGCCAGCAAGAAAAUAGUCCUAGCGCCAGCUUCCCAUGACAGUCUUCUUUCCAGAAGGGAGCCUCUGCUUGCCCCCCCCCCCCGCCCCCACCCAGCGUCUCAGGAGAAUGGCUUUGCUCCUCAGCAUCUGACAAAUAAGGCCAGCGUGGUAGAUCUCUCGGCUUAAGGAUAUCUGAUGUAUUUAUGCAACGACAUCGAGAUUCAUGAUCUAGAUUUUCAGCUACCACGCAGGACCUCGGCCAUCGUCCUAGGGAGUGUCACAGUAAGACGGCCUUUGCAUUUCCACCUUCAGAGAGCAGAGUGAUCAAAAUCAGAGGUCUCCAAAUACAUAGUCAGAAGACCACAAAGACCACAAAAUCUUCCUCUUUCAGACUUCAAAGGGAGCAAGGCAUAGAACCUAUUUCAUCAAGCAAACUUUAAUACAGUUCAGGGAGAGUUUUGUAAAUAGGACUGCAAUUUAGGAUCCAAUAUGUUUCUUAAAUCCUGAAUUAAAAAUGACUGUUCUUCUGUUUAGCAAACUCCUUCAAAAAGAUCAAUCUGUACUGUGUUAUAAUUACGAAUUUUAAAAACAUGAUUUCUGUGGUAGAUUGAGAGCUGAGAAACUAAAUCAUGAGGUUAAAAUUAAAAUAUUGGAUAUAUAAGAAUUCUAAGAUAAGCCUUCAUUGUGCAACUAGGCAUGUUGUAGCAAGCACAUGCUGUAAAUAGCAAACCGUAUCUCUUACAUAAAGGUUAGCACUUAGUAGAUCUCAGGAUUUGUAUCAGGAGAUGACUACUUUUAAUGCAAAUUAUAGCUUACAAACAACUGUUGAGUGGCUGAGUCUGGGAGACUUCUUUGGUCUUAUAACUGUUAUUAGUAAUUCAUGGAAAUUGAUUACCUGAACAGCAGUCGCACAUUUAGUAUUUUGUGGCAGAGAUGAUAAACACAACUGUUUGUUGUCAGAGUGAUUUUUUUUUCCUUUAAAAAAAAACCAUUCAUUAAAACUGCUGGAAAUCAUGUUGGUUAAAACAGGAGUUUGCCAUUUUUCCAAGUGCUUUAUUGCCUCUUGGAGGAGAAUUCAUUAUAAUAACAGAGUCCUAGGCUGACUCUGUUUGUGUGAAACAGUGGCCUCUUUGGAAAUGCUAGAUGUGUAGCAAAACAAAUGUACACUCUGCCCUCACAGAGGUAAAAAUAUUGAUUGUCAGAAGGACCACAGCCUAAAGACUACAGCUUAUUGGAAAAUAAUGAAAUCUUGUCUUUCUCUUCCAGCAUCUUAACGCCCCAGUAAUGGGCAGAAUUCUAGGGAGGAACAAUCAAAAAUUUCUUAUUUGAUUUUUUUUUCCUUGUUGUUUUUUCCCCUAAGAGGUUGAAAUUAAGUGCCUUCCUCCCUCCUAUAAUACAUUCUUGGAUCAGAGUUGUCAAGAAAACAUGAAACUAGAGGUUAAGAGAUAUCUUAGUAAAUUCAGGCCCACCUGGAUAAUUGGGUUUAAAACGUUCUUCCUUUCAUAUUAACCAGACACUUUCUUGGUUACAGAAACAGUUACCACUUUCACACAAGUUUUCUGGACCCAUCUUGGUGUGAUGUAAUCUCUAUUCUUAGUUGACUUUAUUUAGCCUAAUUCCAUUGUAUUUUUUUAAAAAAAAAGCAAGACCUAACUAUUCGCUCUUUACUGAAGUUUCACCUUAAAUAUAAAGGUUAUAAAGACAUGAGUAGGUUAAAAGUAAAAGGAUAGAGAAAUAUAUAUAUCAAGAUUUUAACUAUGAAUUAUAAAUUACAGAAAAACUCCAUUGAGAUUAGACAUAGAACUGAAGACAAGGAGUAACAUAAGAGAUAAAAAGGGAGAUUUUUUUAAAUUGAAAAAAGGGUCACUAAUCAGAGAGACCUAGCAUUUCUAAAUACGCAUUCCCCCAAUCACAGAGCACAAGAACACAUUAGAAAAGAAAAUAGCUGUAGUGAGAAGAACGGGGGGAAAGUCGAGUGAAUGAUCUUAACACUCCGCUCUUGGCCAUUAGUGGACAGUAGACAAAAUGAGCUGAACGGAGAAGGCCGUUAUCAGCAAGUGUAAAUUAGUGAAUGUUUAAGACAGAGUUCUCCCAGCACCUACAAAACACAAGUUCAUUUUAAGUGGAUCUAAGUACAAAAUAAGCCUUGCUAAAUUUGAAAUUAUACAUAGCAUGUUCUCUAACCACUGUAGAAUUAUAUUGGAAAUCAGUAUAAAUAAUAUCUUUAAAAUGCUCUGGAGUUACUGUCGUGGCUCAGUGGAAAUGAAUCUGACUAAUAUCCGUGAGAACACAGGUUCGAUCCCUGGCCUUGCUCAGUGGGUUAAGGAUCUGGCAUUGCUGUGAGCUGUGGUGUAUGUCACAGACACAGCUCAGAUCCCACAUUGCUAUGGCUAUGGCAUAGGCCAGCAGCUGUAGCUCCACUUCGACCCCUAGCCUGGGAACCUCCAUAUGCCGCAG
rnacentral:lncRNA from 1 species